rnacentral:rRNA from 1 species
GACGAACGCUGGCGGCGUGCUUAACACAUGCAAGUCGAACGCUGAAGCUCAGCUUUUGUUGGGUGGAUGAGUGGCGAACGGGUGAGUAACACGUGAGUAACCUGCCCCCUUCUUUGGGAUAACGCCCGGAAACGGGUGCUAAUACUGGAUAUUCACUGGUCUUCGCAUGGGGGUUGGUGGAAAGGGUUUUUCUGGUGGGGGAUGGGCUCGCGGCCUAUCAGCUUGUUGGUGGGGUGAUGGCCUACCAAGGCUUUGACGGGUAGCCGGCCUGAGAGGGUGACCGGUCACAUUGGGACUGAGAUCCGGCCCAGACUCCUACGGGAGGCAGCAGUGGGGAAUAUUGCACAAUGGGCGCAAGCCUGAUGCAGCGACGCCGCGUGAGGGAUGGAGGCCUUCGGGUUGUGAACCUCUUUCGCUCAUGGUCAAGCCGCAACAAUGGUUGUGGUGAGGGUAGUGGGUGAAGAAGCGCCGGCUAACUACGUG